GACGAACGCUGGCGGCGUGCUUAACACAUGCCAGUCGAACGGGCCUUGUCCCCUUUUUUUUUGGGGGUGGGGUUAGUGGCGAACGGGUGAGUAACACGUGAGUAACCUGCCCCUCACUUCUGGAUAACCGCUUGAAAGGGUGGCUAAUACGGGGUGUUCUGGCCUGCUCGCAUGGGUGGGUUUGGAAAGAUUCGACCGGUUUUGGUUGUUUUGGUGGGGGAUGGGCUCGCGGCCUAUCAGCUUGUUGGUGGGGUGAUGGCCUGCCAAGGCUUUGACGGGUAGCCGGCCUGAGAGGGUGGGCGGUCACACUGGGACUGAGACACGGCCCAGACUCCUACGGGAGGCAGCAGUGGGGAAUAUUGCACAAUGGGCGCAAGCCUGAUGCAGCGACGCCGCGUGAGGGAUGGAGGCCUUCGGGUUGGGAACCUCUUUCGCCAGUGAAGAAGGUCCUGCUCUUUGUGGUGGGGUUGACGGUAGCUGGGUUAAUGAAGCGCCGGCUAACUACGUG
rnacentral:rRNA from 1 species